UACAGAGGUCUCAAGCGUUGUUCGGAAUCACUGGGCGUAAAGGGUGCGUAGGCGGCGUGGAAAGUCAGAUGUGAAAUCCGGGGGGCUCAACCUCCGAAUUGCAUCCGAUACUACCAUGCUAGAGAACUGGAGGGGAGUCUGGAAUUCUUGGUGUAGCAGUGAAAUGCAUAGAUAUCAAGAGGAACACUAGUGGCGAAGGCGAGACUCUGGACAGUAUCUGACGCUCAUGCACGAAGGUCAGGGUAGCGAACGGG
rnacentral:rRNA from 1 species